AGGGCAAAGGUCACACAAGGCCACUGACGCUCUCCCUCUGGGCGGAUGGUUAACACCGGGAGUGUCCUCACCUCUGCUCCUGCUGUGAGUUCCAGAACCAGAAACAGGGCCCAUCUGGGGGCAGAGGCCCUACUCCCCCAGAUAAGGAAGCUGGGUCUCCAGAGUGUCACUUGUCCGUGGCCACACAGUGAAUGAGAGUUGCACACAGGCAUCUUGUGCCUGGCAGCCCUUGGCACAGAGAAGACGCAAAGCAAACUUCGUUCAUAAGAAGGGGACGAGCGCAGCCUGAGCGUCCCCUGCUCUUGAACAAAUUGCCAGGCUCAGUGCAGCCGCCGUCACCACCACUGUUCCCAGGAAGAGACCUCUGGCCACAAGCAGCUCCAGUUCAGCUCCUUGGACCUAAUUAUUCAGUCCAGCAAAGAGGUAGCUGGAAAAGUCUCCAAGACAUCUAACGAUUCCGUGGCUCCAGUUGAGAACUGAGUUAUCUUUAUGUGAUUUUAAAAUAAAACAUACUCAGAAGGAGAGAACACAAUUGAAAUCCAGCUGUCUGGAGUCAUUCCAGAUGAAAGUUUUUGAGUUUGGGGAUGCAAAGGAGGCAGGAAAGCCAGGAGUCAGAUGAUCAGAAUUCGAAUGCAGACCUCACCAGGCCCUUGCUGUGGGCCCUGGGAGAUGACUUCCAUGUCCUGAAUCUCAGCUUCCUUAGGGACAGAGGUGGUGCUUACUCAUAGGUUAUU